AGGCUUUCAUAUAACGUGUGCACAUAAGCUUUAGCACAAAUAAACUUUUCGGUUGUAUUUUUAAGUUCAUCAAAGUCCUUCGACAGACUAAAUGCGUAGAAUUAUUACUCAGGUUGAAUGAAUUUAAACAUUUUGUCAAUGAUACUUUAUACAAGAUAAACAGAUCAGUGCUGUUAAUUGAGGUGAUUUUUUUAUAUAUUAAUGUAUAUUGACUUUUCCCCUACAUCGCC
rnacentral:lncRNA from 1 species